CAGUAGCCGCGGUAAUACGAAGGGGGCUAGCGUCGUUCGGAAUCACUGGGCGUAAAGCGCACGUAGGCGGACACUUAAGUCAGGGGUGAAAUCCCGCAGCUCAACUGCGGAACUGCCUUUGAUACUGGGUAUCUUGAGUAUGGAAGAGGUUAGUGGAAUUGCGAGUGUAGAGGUGAAAUUCGUAGAUAUUCGCAGGAACACCAGUGGCGAAGGCGGCUAACUGGUCCAUAACUGACGCUGAGGUGCGAAAGCGUGGGGAGCAAACAGGAUUAGAUACCCCGGUAGUCCCUGUCUCUUAUAC
rnacentral:rRNA from 1 species